rnacentral:rRNA from 1 species
CCUACGGGAGGCAGCAGUGAGGAAUAUUGGUCAAUGGACGAGAGUCUGAACCAGCCAAGUAGCGUGAAGGAUGACUGCCCUAUGGGUUGUAAACUUCUUUUAUAUGGGAAUAAAAUGUUCCACGUGUGGGAUUUUGUAUGUACCAUAUGAAUAAGGAUCGGCUAACUCCGUGCCAUCAGCCGCGGUAAUACGGAGGGUCCGAUCGUUAUCCGGAUUUAUUGGGUUUAAAGGGAGCGUAGGUGGAUUGUUAAGUCAGUUGUGAAAGUUUGCGGCUCAACCGUAAAAUUGCAGUUGAAACUGGCAGUCUUGAGUACAGUAGAGGUGGGCGGAAUUCGUGGUGUAGCGGUGAAAUGCUUAGAUAUCACGAAGAACUCCGAUUGCGAAGGCAGCUCACUGGACUGCAACUGACACUGAGGCUCGAAAGUGUGGGUAUCAAACAGGAUUAGAUACCCCAGUAGUC